CUGCUGCCUUCCGUAGGAGUUUGGGCCGUGUCUCAGUCCCAAUGUGGCCGGUCACCCUCUCAGGUCGGCUACUGAUCGUCGCCUUGGUGGGCUUCUACCCCGCCAACAAGCUAAUCAGACGCGGGCCCAUCCCGUACCACCGGAGUUUUUCACACAAAAGCAUGCGCUCUCGUGCGCUUAUGCGGUAUUAGCAGCCGUUUCCGGCUGUUAUCCCCCGGUACAGGGCAGGUUGCCCACGCGUUACUCACCCGUCCGCCA
rnacentral:rRNA from 1 species